GCUGAGUUGUCUCUGGGGGAACAUCACCUUUCAAUUGUGUUUCUAUAUAUUUCUAUAGAUAUAGGUCUUUGAAACUUUGGGAUACAGCAAAAUAAAAGCAUCUUUCCUAGCCUUUGCAGAGAAAUUUUAAUGGAAGUAAUGACACCCCCUGCGAAGAACAGAAGAACUUCAGUGGUCAUGUAAGACCUCAAGACUGCUGGAAUCCUAGAAUCCUAUUUAUUCUUCUGUAGGAGGCACAAGAUUUUUUAUAAUACAUCUUUCCAAUUGAAACAAAUCAAGAGACUUGUGGUCUGGUGGAGAUACAGGUGUGGACCUGCAGAGGACAGGCCGGCUGACAGAUCCGCCAUGAAGCGUGCAUUUCCAGUAGGCCUCUUGUGCUUGUUAGAUCCUCCAGGUACAGUAUGACGGACAUCUCGAAUCUCGAGGAUGUGUUACCACAGAUGAGCCGGCAAGAAAUAAGACGCCAUGAUCUCUAAGGUGUCAUCAAAGCGUCAAGGAAUCAAA